rnacentral:lncRNA from 1 species
UAAUUUAAGCGGACCUAAUUAACUUGGAGUGUCGAGGUUCAUAACUUAUUGAAUUGAUAACUGGAAAUCGAUUUACGUUGCAUAUAUUUCAUGUGUGGAGAAGAACCCCUUAGCUAUUCCAUCAUCCAUUGAUUCAUCACAAUUUUGUCUUACAAUCUGUUUUCUUUACAAUCUGUCCAUUUAGUUUAUUUUCGUCCAAAUCAAAUCCCCAUUUAUUUUGAAGUCCUAGAUUAGUUAAAAAGUGUGUUGGUUUAUGUUUUUAAGUGUUUUGGUACAAGUUAAAACCCAAAUUCGUCCAAUUUGGUGCUUUGUGUCAAAACUGCCCAGAAAGUGUUUUUAAGGCAGUUUUGAGUCUUUUAGUUGCUGUUUUGAGUUUUUGGUUUGUUUUAGUAUUUUAAACGUUAGUUUUGCAUUCUUUGAGUCUAAUCUAGUGUUUUAAACUUUGUUUUUGCGUUUCUAAUUCAGUUUUCAAGUGAUUAGUGCCCCUAGUUAAUCCCCGGUUAGAACGAUCCCUACUUACAUCAUUACUACAAUUGUCACAAAUAGGGUUUAAUUUGUGUGUCAACAUCAUUACUACAAUUGCCAUUCAAGUUGGAUUGUUAGAGCGUUUUUAGGUGUUUUCAUUCUUUUGUUUUCAAUGUCUAAAUUUGUUUAUCUUUGCUUUGUGAGUAUGAGGAACUAAACCCCCCUUAGCUAGGGGGGAAUUUGAAACCAUGUUCAUGCUUGCAAUAUGAUUUGAUUACCUUCAGUUGUGAUUUCAUAAGUUGUGAAUUCAAUUUGUUUAACUGCUUGAUUGAUAACUUAUUCAUGUAUGUUUAUUAAGAGUCCACACUUAGUUUGCAUGCAUGAAAAUGAUGCUAGAGUAUAAGGGAGUUUCACCUAAUAGUUACAAACUUAUAUUCACAAGUAGUGGAGGUUGAUAGGAGCAUAUUUAUGCGCCUUAGUUAGCUAGUUCUUAUGCAUCUUUGUUAUGUUUUCUUCGUUAAAGUAGUCUUUUAAGCUACUUUCAUGUGUUUUCAGGUUUAAAGGACAUAUUACAUGAAAUGAUGCAAUUUGGAGCUUUUGGAGCAAAAAGUGAGCUUGGAAUGAAAAGGACAUGCUUGGAACACAAGGUUGGGAUGAAAUUGAAGAGUUGAAGAUUUGAGGUUUCCUACUUGAAGUAGGAAAGCUAAGCCUAAAAGUUUCCAUUUUGGGUUGAUCUUUCCUAAAUCGGAAUUGGCAACCAAAGUUUCUAAAAGUUGGAAGUUUCUAUUCUUGGAGGUUUCCAUUUUCGUGAGUUUCUAUUCUCGGCUUUGGGCUUUUGGAUGACCCAUCCUCACUUCUUGGACCUAUGCCGCACCUUAAACCCUAAUCCUAGCCCAUUUAAUCAGCCACACCCUAGGGCCUAAUCAUUUUAAAUUCUGCCAAGUUAAACCCUAAUCUAUCUACCCUAAGCCCAAGCCGCACCCUAGGCCUUUUCCCAUGCAAAAAUCUGAUUGUAAACCCUAAUUCCUUGUGGAUUUUCUAACCCUAGCCGCACCUAAACCCUAGCCCAUUGUCUAACCUGAUUUCUUUAGGGUUUUAGGUGCCUAUAUAUAUGUGUUUUACAUCCUUUGGCCGAUCAUCACCCUCUCCAUAAUUCAGAAAUUCGUCCAGCCACUUCCCACUCUGUGCCGCAGCCAUUCUACAACUCCAGCCACCAUUCUACACUUCCAUACACCAUUCUACACACCUCCAUACACCACCCCAUACCCUUGCCGCACCACCAUACCAUCCUAACUCCCUUCUAAAACCAAAAUCACAUCCAAAAACACCCUAAACCCUCUCUGCCGCAGCAAGGAGAAGAAGAAAGAGGAGCUUGAAGUCAGAAAUUCAAAGUGGAAUUCGUGGGCGUUUUAGGUGUAAUCUUUCCUAUGUCUUCGAUGUUUCAAUUCAAUAAACUUUGUGUUGUGAGUAUGAGGAACUAAACCCCCUUAGUUGGGGGGUAAUUCGAAACCAUGUAUACGCUUGCAAUAUGAUUUGAUUACAUUCAGUUGUUAUUUCAUAAGUUGUGGAUUCAAUUCGUUCAUCUAUUUGAUUGAUGACUUAUUUGUGUAUGUUGAUUGAGAGUGCACGCUUAGUUUUCAUGCAUGAAUAUGAUGCUAGAUUAUGAGGGAGUUUCACCUAAUAGUUAUAAUCUUAUAAUCACAAGUAGUGAAGGUCGCUUGAAAACGAUCGCGUUGAAUGAAUUCUUAGCAUAAGUUUCAUGCAAUUCAUAGUAAUGAAUGCUUCGUCAAUGCUUAUGUUUUUCAUAGAACUUAAUGAUUCUUGCUUGUAUCUCUAUUAUGCAAUUCAUGUAGGGAACUUGUAGGGAAUGUUUUGGGUUGUCGUAUGCAAUCAUCCAACUUGAUAACUUAUGGAAAAACUGAGGGUUAAUUAGUGCAAUUCACGGUUAAUUUGGGGCAUUGAGUAUUUAUAAUUUAUUGGAAGAACAACUGAAAAUCGUUUUGUUUGCAAGUGUGACAUGUGUGGAGAAGAACCUCCUAACUAGCCUUUUAUCCAUCUAUUUCACCAAAAUCGUUUUUACAAUCUGUGCUAGUUAAAGUUUCUGUUUUGUGUUAAAUUUUCGUCCAAAACAAAUCCCCCUUUAAUUUGAAGUCUUAGAUUAGUUAGAAAGUGUUUUGAUUUGUGUUUCUAAGUAUUUUGAUUCAAGAUUUCAUCAAAUUUCGUCCAAAUUAGUGUAGGUGCUCAAAACUGCCCAGAAAGUGGUUUUUAGGCAGUUUUGAGCCUUCUAGUUGCUGUUUUGAGUUUUAGGUUUGUUUAAGUGUUUUAACCUUUACUUUUGCAUUCUUUGAGUCUAAGUUUAGUGUUUUAAACUUUGUUUUUGAGUUUUUAAGUCAGUUUCCAAGUGUUUAGCAAUCCCUCCUAAUCCCCGGUCUAGAACGAUCCCUACUUACAUACUUUACUACAUUUGUCAAAAGAGGGUUUAAUUUGUGUGCUUAAUAUAUUUCGCAUCAGAGGUCGCUUAUAAACGAUCGCGUUAAAUAAAUUCUUGGCAAGAGUUUCAUGCUCAUCAUAGUAACGAAUGCCUCGUCAAUACUUAUAGUUUUCAUAAUGCUUAAUGAUCUUUGAUUGUAUCUUUAUUGUGCUGUUCACGUAAAGAACUUUUGAAGAAUGCUUGAAUUGUUGUAUGUGCUUUCCCAUCCAAUUCAAUAACUUAAGGAGAACUUGAAGGUUAAUUUAAGCGGACUUAAUUAACCUGGGGUGUUGAGUUUCAUGAUUGAUCGAAAGAACAACUGAAAAUUGGUUUAUGUGCAAGUAUGUCAUGUGUGGAGAAGAACCUCCUAGCUAGCCUUCCAUCCAUUCAAUUUACUCAAAUUCGUGCAGAUUUCAUUAGUUCUUUAAUUUACUUGUUUUGUUUUCAAAUUCGUCAAAACCAAAACCCCCUUUACUUUAAAGUGUUUUAUUAGUCAAAAUCUGUUUUGAUUUGUGUUUUUAGGUGUCCCAAAAGUGUGUUAGAGUCCAAAUCUGCCCAGUUUGUGUUUUUAGGCAGAUUUGAGCGUUUUGAGCUUGUUUUGAGUCCUUUGAGUUUGUUUUGAGUCAUUUGAGUUUGUUUUAAGUUCUUUGAGUCUAGUUUAGUAUUUUUAACUUUGUUUAUAUGUUUUUAAGUCAGUUUAGAGGUUUUAGCAAGCCCUCCUACUCCCCGGUUUAGAACGAUCCCUACUUGCAUUUAUACUACAAUUUGACAACAAGUGGGUUUAAUUUGUGUGUUAAGUUAAUUUUCACACCAGAUAGAUUAGGGUUUAAACUUAGCAGAAAUAAAGGAUUAGGCUCUAAGAUUUGCUGCAAAGAUGUAUAAAUCCACUAAGGAAUGGGUUUGGCCUGGUGCGAAAUAUUCUAAGCACACAAAUUAAACCCUCUUUUUAUCAAUUGUAGUAAAGAAUGUAAGUAGGGAUCGUUCUAGGCCGGGGAUUAGGAGGGAUUGCUAAAUCACUUGAAAACUGACUCAAAAUGUAAAAACAAAGUUUAAAACACUAAAUUAGACUCAAAGAAUGCAAAACUAAACUCUAAAGCACUAAAGCAAACCAAAAGACUCAAAAUAGCCCAGAAACACUCAAAACUGCCUUAAAAACACUUUCUGGGCAGUUUUGAACACAAAACACAAUUUGGACGAAAAUUUGGUUUAACUUGACUCAAACACUUAAAAAACACAAACUAAAUUGACUUCCUAACUAAUAUGACUCAACAAAAUAAAGGGGGAUUUGAUUUUGACGAAUUUAAAACAAAACAGAAACUUUGUAACCUGAACAGAUUUUAAAACGAAAUUUGGUUAAAGUUGAAUGGAUGGAAAGGCUAGCUAAGGGGUUCUUCUCCACACAUGACACACUUGCAUACAAAACGAUUUCCAAUUGCUUUUCAAUAAACCAUGAAUUCUCAACACCCCAGAUUAACCGUGAAUUGCACUAAUUAACCCUCAGAUUUUCCCUUAAGUUAUUGAAUUGGAUGAAUUGCAUACGACAACCCAAAGCAUUCCCUACAAGUUCCCUACAUGAAUUGCAUAAUAGAGAUACAAGCAAGAAUCAUUAAGUUCUAUGAAAAUCAUAAGCAUUGACGAGGCACUUGUUAACUAUGAAUUGCAUGAAACUUAUGCCAAGAAUUUACUUAACGCGAUUGUGAUCAACAACCUUCACUACUUGUGAAUAUAAGUUCAUAACGAUUAGGUGAAACUCCCUUAUAUCCUAGCAUCAAAUUUAUGCAUGAAAAUUAAGCGUGCACUCUCAACCAACAUACACAAAUCAGUUUUAAUUCAAAUGUAGAUAAGUAAAUUGAAUUCACAACUUAUGAAACACAAUUAGAAGUAAUCAAAUCAUAUUGCAAGCAUAAACAUGGUUUCGAAUCCCCCCUAGCCAAGGGGGGUUUAGUUCCUCAUACUCGCAAAGCAAAGAUACAUAAAUUUAGAAAUUAAAAUCCAAAGAAAGAAAACACCUAGAACGCUCCAACUUGGCAGCAAGCGCAUCAACGAUUUCUCCUUCCUCCUUGCUGCGGCAGAGAAGUUUAGAACAGGUUUUGGGUGGUAUUUAUGGUGUAGAAUGGAUGGGGAAUGGUAUGGAAAGGUUUAGGGUUGAUGGGUGGUGCGGCAAGGGGUUGUUUUUGGCAGAAAUUUGGGAGAAUGGUGGUGGAAGGCUGCGGCAAAGGUGUGGAAUGGAUUUUUGGCGUGAUUUAUGAAUGUGAGAGGUGGUGAAUUCGGCCAAGGCUUAAUAUGAGUAUUUAUAGGCACUUAAAACCCUAGGGUAAUCAGAUUAGGGCUUCUAGAAAGCCAAAUCCAUCAGAAAAUAGGUUAAAGCAAUCAGAUUUUGAAUGGGAAAAGGCCUAGGGUGCGGCUGGAUGGAUAGGGUAAAGGAUGGGCCUUCUAGAAUGCCUUGCAAGGCAAGGCAAAGGGUUUCUAGAAAGGGGAAGGGUGCGGCAGGUUUAGGGGAUGCAGAUAGGGCUUCUAGAAAGCCCAAAACCAAGAAGAAAUAGGCCCUAACCCAUGGCAAGGAUGAGAAAAUGUUCUAAAACCCUUCUUUGUGUCUUCCAACGCUUAGGAACCUUCUAAUUUUGCUAAAACUCAAGGCCAUGUAGGUUUAGGAAAGAUCAACCCAAAGUGGAAACUUUUAGGCUUAGCUUUCCUACUUCAAGUAGGAAACCUCGUGUGAGUAGGAAUCUUCGUUCUUCUAGGAAUCCAUCUUCAACUAGGAAUCCUUCUUUGAUUAGGACUCCUCCUCGGACUAGGAAUCCUUCUUGGCUUAGGAAUCCUCAAAUCUUCAAAUCUUCAAUUUUGUCCAAACCUUGUGUUCCAAGCAUGUACUUUCCAAUCUAUGCUCACUUUUGCUCCAAAAGCUCCAAAUUGCAUCAUUUUAGGUAAUAUACCCUUUAAACCUGAAAACACAUGAAAGUGAUAGGAGCAUAUUUAUGCCACUUAGUUAGCUUGUUAUUGUGCAUUUACGUUGUUAGUUCGUAGUUAUUUUAGUAUUUUAAGCUAUUUUCGUGUGUUUGUAGGUCCAAUGGUUUAAAGUGGCAAAGAAGUGUAUUUUGGAGCCUUUUGGAGCAGUUUUUGGCAUCAAAUGGAUUGCACAUGCUUGGAGCUAAGAAGAUGGACGAAAUUGAAGAUCAAAUGAGCUUAGGAUUGAAUGAAGAUGUGAAGAAUUGGAUUCAAGACAAAUGAAGAAUGAUGAGUUCAAAAUUGGAAGCCAAAGUUUCUAAAGUUGGAAGUUUCUAUUCUUGGAGGUUUCCAUCUUUGGCUCUACACUUUCCUAAUCCUAAGUCACAUAUGUUCCAGCCACAAAAGGGGUUCCUAAAUCAUUUAGGACACUUAAUUAUAUGAUUUUAGGAGACCUAGACCUAUCCCUAAUUCUUGCCGCACAUGGGAUCCUCUCCUUUCCUAUUUUCUGAUUUUAAUUCACAUUCCCCUUUUGUUUCUUCCAUCCUUGCUGCACCCUACCUCAUCUCCUUACCUAUUUUCUGACCCAAAAUUACAUUCCCCUUUGUUCUAAAGCCUUGCCACACAAGGGGAGAGGUUCUUACCUAUUUUGUGACCCAAAACACAUUCCUAAAAUCUGCCCUAAAAUCUUUGCCCAAUUUCCCUUCUUUUUCUCUUUAAUUCCUGCACUUACCUUCCCUUUUUCCUUCAAAUUUCUGACCUCUAUUCACUUUCCUUUUCUCUGCCACAAUUAUUUACCUCUUUUCCUUCAAAUCUGCCAUAUAUUUUCCUCUCCUAAAUUCAUUAAUUUCUGUUAGGUUUUCUUGGGGAUUUGGAAAGCUAAAUCCUUCCCUAAAACUACUUCAAAUUCGUAGCCCUUCCUUGCCCUAUAAAUAAAGACCCUUGCAGCAGCUUUUGGGGAUUCCACCCUUCACCAUAACUAACCUAUAUCCAUCCACCACCACAAAUCACCACAAAAACCAUCGCCCAUCCUUUGUGCCGCAGAAAAGAAGAAGGAAGGAGACCCUUGGACGUGCUUGCCAUUCAAGACAUUGGAUUGUUGGAGCGUUUCUAGGUGUUUUCAUUCUUUGUUUUCAAUAUCUAAAUUUAUGUAUCUUUGUUUUGCGAGUAUGAGGAACUAAACCCCUCUUGGCUAGGGGGAAUUUCGAAACCAUGAUUAUAUUUGCAAUAUGAAUUGAUUACCUUCAGUUGUGAUUUCAUAAGUUGUGAAUUCAAUUUAUUUAACUGCUUGAUUGAUAACUUAUUCGUGUAUGUUGAUUAAGGAGGCCUACUUAGUUUGCAUGCAUGAAUAUGAGGCUAGAGUAUAAGGGAGUUUCACCUAAUAGUUACAAACUUAUAUUCACAAGUAGUGGAGGUCGCUUAUAAACGAUCGCGUUAAAUGAAUUCUUGGCACUAGUUUCAUGCUCAUCAUAGUAACGAAUGCCUCGUCAAUACUUAUAGUUUUCAUGAUGCUUAAUGAUCUUUGAUUGUAUCUUUAUUGUGCUUUUCACGUAAAGGACUUUUGAAGAAUGCUUUGAAUUGUUGUAUGCGCUUUCCCAUCCAAUUCAUUAACUUAAGGAGAACUUGAAGGUUAAUUUAAGCGGACCUAAUUAACCUGGGGUGUUGAGUUUCAUGAUUUAUCGAAAGAACAACUGAAAAUUGGUUUAUGUGCAAGUGUGUCAUGUGUGGGGAAGGACCUUCUAGCUAAUCCAUCAUCCAUCCAUUCAUCUUAAUUUCGUCCAAAAUCUGUUUAGUUUUAAGUUUCUGUUUUGUUUUGCUUAUUUUCGUCCAAAAACCCAAUCCCCUUUACUUUGAAGUGUUAGAUUAGUUAAAAUCUGUUUUGGUUUGUGUUUUUAAGUGUCUUGAGUCAAGUUAAAACCAAUUUUCGUCCAAAUUUACUCUAGGUGGCAGAUUUGAGUCAAUUUCAUUGUUUUGUUCUAUUUUGAGUCUUUUAAGUUUGAUUUGAGUCUUGUGAGUCUUGUUAAGUGUUUUUAAGUUUAUUUUUGUGUUUCUAAGUCAGUUUAGAGGUUUUAGCAAGCCCUCCUAAUCCCCGGUCCAGAACGAUCCCUACUUGCAUCUUUACUACAAUUUGACAACAAGAGGGUUUAAUUUGUAAGUUAGUUUAUAAUGCAUCAGAAAGUAGCUUAAACGUCUAUUUUAACUUAGAAAACAUAACAAAAAUGCAUAAGAACUAGCUAAUUAAGGCGCAUAAAUGCUCCUAUCAUGGCCCAAUUAAAUUCAGAAAAAAACUUGUAUAACCCAAAUCCACAAAGAAUAAGGCUAGCAAAAUCAGAAUCCAAAGGGAAUUGGAUGAGGGAAUGCAUGGCAAGGGUUGGAUGGAAUGGGAAUUACUUGCAAGGCAAGAAUAGAAACCUCCAACUUUAGAAACUUUGGCUUCCAAUUCUGAACUCUUUGUUCUUCAUUUCCAUUUCUUCAUUUCUUUCAGCUCAUUAUUCAUUCCUAGCCUCCUUUGAUCUUCAAUUUCGUCCAUCAACUUAGCUGCAAGCUGAUAGGAGCAUAUUUAUGCGCCUUAGUUAGCUAGUUCUUAUGCAUUUUCAUUAUGUUUUCUGAGUUUAAAGUAGUCUUUUAAGCUAGUUUCAUGUGUUUUCAGGUUUUAAGGGCAUAUUACAUAAAAUGAUGCAAAUUGGAGCAUUUUAGAGCAAAAUUGAGAUGGAAUGGAGUGUAUGCAUAUGGAGCACAAGGAAUGGACAAGUUUGAAGGUCAAAGGAGCCUAAGAGAUGAAGAAAUGAAAGUGAAGAACAAAGAAUGCAGAAGUGGAAACCAAAGUUUCUAAAGUUGGAAGUUUCUAUUCUUGGAGGUUUCCACUUUUGAGAGUUUCUAUUAUUGGCUUUGGGCUUUUAGAUGACCUAUCCUCAUCCUCUUAGACUUGGGCCGCACCUUUCCUCUUUCUAGAAACCCUUUGCCUUGCCUUGCAAGGCAUUCUAGAAGGCACAUCCUUUACCCUAUCCAUCUAGCCGCACCCUAGGCCUUUUCCCAUUAAAAAUCUGAUUGUUUUAACCUAGUUUCUGAUGAAUUUGGGCUUCUAGAAACCCUAAUCUGAUUUGCUAGGGUUUUUAAGUGCCUAUAUAUACUCAUUAAACCUUUUGGCCGAAGGUACCACCUCCCAUAUUCAUCAUUCAUCACAGAAAUUCGUCCAUACACACCCUAGGCAGCAAAACACCCCAGAAACACCAUUCUAGCGCCCAGAAAAUACAACAGCCGCUCCACCUUCUUCCACCCUCUUUGCCGAGUUCUCCACCACCUUCCAACCAUCAAACACUCUUCCACACUCACCCUACACCCUUUGCCGUGCCUCUACACCCCCCAAAAUCCAUUCUACAUCAUCAAAACAGCCCAGAAACCUUCAACAACCAAUCUGUCGCAAGCAAGGAAAAGGGACAGAUUCACUCAAUUGUUUGGCUCUUCAUUCUGAGUUGUUGAACAAUUUUAGGUGUAUUCUAUCUUAUAUUUCAAUGUCUAAUUCAUUUAAUCUUUGUUUUUCUUUAAGUAUGAUUGGCUAAAUUCGUUUUGGAUAAGGGUGUAUUCAAAAUCAUGAUUAUAUAUGUGAAAUAAGUUGAUUACUUCCAGUUAUCGUUGCAUAAGUCGUGAAUACAAUUUGCUUAACCGUUUGAUUUAGAACUUAUUCUUGUAUGUUGAUUGAGAGUGCACGCUUAAUUUGCAUGCUUGAAUUUGGUGCUAGGAUAUAAGUUUGUUUCACCUAAUCGUUAUGAAUUUAUAUUCGCAAGUAGUGAAGGUCGCUAGUCACGAUCGUGUUAAGUAGAUUCCUGGCAAGAGUAUCAUGCUUUUCAUAGUUACAAUUGCCUUGUCGAUGCUUAUGAUUUCCAAGGAACGUAAUGAUUCUAACUUGUUUCUUUAUCAUGCUGUUCAUAUAGAGAACUUGUUAGGAAUAAUUUGUUUGCGAUGCAUAUUCAUCUAAUUCAAUAAUUCUAGGGAAAUCUGAAGGUUAAUUUAAGCGGACCUAAUUAACUUGGAGUGUCGAGGUUCACAACUUAUUAAAUUGAUAACUGGAAAUUGAUUUACGUUGCAUAUAUUUCAUGUGUGGAGAAGAACCCCUUAGCUAUUCCAUCAUCCAUUGAUUCAUCACAAUUUUGUCUUACAAUCUGUUUUCUUUUCAAUCUGCCCAUUUAAUUAUUUUCAUUCAAAAUCAAUCCCACCUUAUUUCUUUGAGUCAUAUUAACUAGAACUUGUCUUAGAAUAUGUUUUUAGGCAUUUUAGGUCAUUAGAAAACCAAAAUUCGUCCAAGUUGUGUUAGAGUCCCAAAACUGCCCAGAAAGUGGUUUUUAGGCAGUUUUGAGUGUUUGUUUGCUGUUUUGAGUCUUUUGGUUUGUUUUAGUGUUUUAGAUUUUAGUUUUGCAUUCUUUGAGUCUAGUUUAGUGUUUUAGCAAUCCUUCCUAAUCCCCGGUUUAAGAAUGAUCCCUACUUAUCCAUACUACAAUUGUCAACAAGAGAGUUAAUUUGUGUGUUUAGUUAUUUUACGCAUCACAAGCAUGUGAUAUCCAUUUUAUGCCCAAAAUUGCUCCAAAAGGCUCCAAAGUGCACCUUUUUGCAUACUGAUAUGAGCAUAUUUAUGCAACUUAGUUAGCUUGUUUCUUGGCAUUUACUUAGUUUAAUUCUAGUUAUUUUAGUACUUUAAGCUAUUUUCGUGUGUUUGUAGGUUCAAAUAACAAAGUUAGCAACAAAGUGCUAUUUGGAGCAUUUUGGAGCAUUUUUGGGCCAAAAUUGGAUAGUGCAAGCAUGGAGACAUGAGGAUGGACGUUUUUGAAGAAUUGAAGGCUACAAAUCAGAAUGUUUGUGUGUAAGUGUGUUGACCUACAAUUACCAAACAUCCAUCCACUACACCCAUUACAUCCACUCAUUACCAAACACUCACCUACUACACCCAUUACAUCCACUCAUUACCACAACACUCACCCACUACACCCAUUACAUCACUCAUUACCAAACACUCACCCACUACAUCCAUUACAUCCACUCAUUGCCAAACAUCCAUCCACUACACCCAUUACAUCCACUCAUUACCAAACAUCCAUCAACUACACCCAUUGCAUCCACUCAUUACCAAACACUCACCCACUACACCCAUUACAUCCACUCAUUACCAAACAUCCAUCCACUACACCCAUUACAUCCACUCAUUACAUUUCAGAUUGGAGAGAUUAUUCAGAUUACAUGUGGGGAGAACCUCAACAAUUCCAACAAGAUGGGUAUUGGCAGCAAGAAGAUGAGUUCUAUUCAAGAUCUAUGUAGCCACCACAACAAUCUACCCAAUUCAAUUCAGGUACGUCUUUGGAUAAUGAUAUGUUUGAUAAGUUACUCACCUCUUUGAACCAGGAAGUAGAAAAUGGAAACAAAUAGAUGCAAAAUCAAGCCAAGAAGACGGGUGAAUUGGAGAAGCAAAUUGGGCAAAUUAUGGAGUUCAUGGCACAAAUUCAAGAGCAAAGUGAACUCUCCAACUCAACUAUUGAAAAUUUGAAGGUAGAUUUUGAAAUCCAUGAUGCUAUCACUUUGGGAAGUGCUAUGGAGGUUGGAGGUGAACCCAAGACAUCCAAACCAAGCCAAAACAUGGAUGAACAACUGCUGCUCGAAGAAGAGGUGAAUAAUGAUAGGAGCAUAUUUAUGCACCUUAGUUAGCUAGUUUUUAUGCAUUUUCGUUAUGUUCUCUUCGUUAAAGUAGUCUUUUAAGCUACUUUCAUGUGUUUUCAGGUUUAAAGGACAUAUUACAUGAAAUGAUGCAAUUUGGAGCUUUUUGGAGCAAAAUUGAGCCGGAAUGUUGUGUAUGCUAAUGGAGCACGAGGAAUGGACAAGUUUGAAGGUCAAAGGAGCUUAAGAAAUGAAGAAAUAAAAGUGAAGAACAAAGAAGUCGGAAUUGGCAACCAAAGUUUGUAAAGUUGGAAGUUCCUAUUCUUGGAGGUUUCCAUUUUCGUGAGUUUCUAUUCUUGGCUUUGGGCUUUGAGAUGACCUAAACCCUAAUUCCUUGUGGAUCCUAAGCCUAUGCCGCACCCUAAGCCCUUUUUCAUUUAAUUUCUGCCAAGUUAAAGCCUAAUCUAUCUCCCCUAGGGUUUGGGCCGCACCUCUCCCCUUCUAGAACACCAAUUUCCUUGCCUUGCAAGGCUUUCUAGAAGCCCUAACCCUAGCCCACUCCUUGCCGCACCCUAGGCCCUUUUUUCUCACCAAAUUUCUGAUUGUUUAACCUAUGUUUCUGAUGGACUUUAAGCCUUUGCCGCACCUAAACCCUAGCCCAUGGUUUAAUCUGAUUUCUUUAGGGUUUUAGGUGCCUAUAUAUAUGUGUUUUACUCCUUGCCGCAGGUAUCAUCUCUAGACACAAUUCAGAAAUUAUUCCAACCUUAUUUCCCCACCUUGCCGCAGCCACCAUCACCCAUAUACCACCUUGCCGCAACCAUUCUACCCUUCCAGCCACCAUUCUACACCUCCAUACACCAUCCAUACCCCUUGCCG